rnacentral:lncRNA from 1 species
GAGAGCAUGGCCAUGGGAAAAGAUUGUGGUAGCUAUCUGCCAACUCAGAGAGACAGCAGCAGAGUCUCCACAAGUGAAGCAGCUUGUUUACAAAGUGCUCACAGUAGGAAAGAGCUUCUUGUAAACACUUCGGGAAAUAGCAAAUGGCGUGUGCACACGUCCAUAGCCCUGAAAGCUGCAUCUGCUGAGCACCUCAAGCCUCUUUGGAGUCCACCCAGAGAGCCCCAGGAGCGUCUGGACUGUCCCAGUGGUGACCCUAUUCAAUAUGGCCAGGCAUCAGGUGAUACUUCUCCUUCAAGGAUUUUCAGAGUCACUUUUCAGAUGGGUACCUGGACAGCAGCUCGAACAGCCUGCCUGGGACUGUAGCUUGGAGCCUACAAUUCCCAGGACGCUGAGGUUCCUCGGACCAGCUGAGCCAGGCUGUGGUGAGGUGGGUGCCCUGGCAUGCGAAGCAUCAAAUCAGAAUAACUGCACCCAGCGCCUGGUGAGAAGAGGAGAGGGCUCUGGCCAGGCCUAAGGUGUCGCAAAGAUGCUCGGGGUGGGGGGGCAUUCUGGCUUACCCUAGAACUGAAUCUCAGACCUUUGACCCAACCAGCCCAUCCCUUCUUGUUGCAUUGAAUGCUUCCUGCCAAGACCAAUCAGCAUCUAUCAUCUGGCCCCCAGAGUCGAGAGACUUCCCAGUAUGAGGCUGGGGUACUGUUAUCCCCUCUCCUUGUCUUUCCACUCAGGACAACCGCAACUGGAUGGGCUGAUGGUGUCAGCAGCCCCAGGUCGGAGCUCAGGGGGGCUUCCGGCAGACCUGGAAUGUGCCAAGUUUGGAUUACUGGUUUGUUGAGUAAGGUCAGAGAUGGAGGGCUCCAAGUCACCACCUGGUCUCCUACACAAUAGAGACAGGAAGCCAGGCACCCCUGUGGCCCAAAGAAGGAAAAUCUGCUCACGAUUCCAGUUUGCAUCCCUGCUUUCGUAACCUGAGGUCCAUGGUCUGACUGCUUACUCCCAGGUUGCUCCUUUUCCUAGGUCAGGCCAAGUGGGCUCUUCGGGCAGUUGAUACUUUCAGAGAUCAGACCUUCUCUGCCUGGUUUUGUUUCGUGGUUCGGAACCUGAAGCUUUGGCUAUGACCACAGAAUAUCAGAGGGAUGAGGGGGAAGGAGCAAAAGCCAGGGCAAGAGCUGCUGCUAUGCUGACCAGGCAGGGGGAGGGGGGUUCUCUCAAUAAGCUCAGCUCCUUCCUGCUGCUUCCUGGCCCUCUUUUCUCAAUUCCCAUCCCCCUCUUCCUUCCCUCCCUUGUAUUGUGUGCCCAGGCUUCCCCUUCCUUGAGCUAUGCCCUGUUCUCUGGGGGCCCUGCCCCCCCAAAAAACUUGCUAGUCCUCAGUGCUCCUGACCUCUCCUUCUAUUGUGAGCUUUUAAGAUAGAAGAAAAGUUUAGACGGACUGCGUAGCUGGAAGGCAGUCAGGAGUGCUUAGCCCUGAGAAAAGCCUUAGUUGGAGAUUGCUUUGGGGCAUGGGUUGGAUGCGGUGGUCUUAGAAGGCCCUUCUAACUCCCAGGUUUUGUGAUUCUGCGAUAUGAGGGCUGCCUUCAAGGAUCUGGAGGGAGAUCCUAGAAAGGAGGUGUUGGUACUUUUCUGUUUGGGCCCCGAGGGCAAAAACAAGAGACCCGUUUGGGCUGGAUUCAAGACCUCCCUAAUCCCGAGAGCUGGCCCAGAGGGCCGGCUCCCAGUCGUUCCAGCAGACACUGGACGCUCCUUUGUGGGAACUUAUAGAGUGGGCAUUCUCAGCAAGGUCCAGCAUGGGCUACGGGUCUUCCAGCAUCCUUCCUUCCUUCUGUGAUUCUGUGAUGGGCGUAUACCUGUGUCCUGAAGACAUCAUCUGCCCAAGGACAGUGCUUUUAAUGGAGGAAGGGCUGCUGGAAAACAGGUCCACCGGUGUCCUGUGAAUUGGUGCAGCUGCUAUGGACCAUGCCCACAAAGUCAAUGAACUGUACAUAGCCUUUCACCCAGCAAUGUAUUACCAUAAGGCAUAAACCCCAAAGAAAGAGGAAAACCCCCAUUUGUACAAAAUUAUUUAUAGCAGCUUUUUUGUACUAGCCAAGAAUUGGGAACUAUGAGGGCGUCCCCCUCCUGGAAAAUGGCUAAAACAGCGGUAGCAUAUGAAUGUAAUGUAAUGUGACAGAAGACAGAAUGGAUUGUUUCAGGGAAAGCUGGAAAGGCCUCUAUGAACUGAUGCAAAAGGAACUGAGCAGAACCAAGAGAAUGCUUCCUAUGAUGAUAACAACUUUGUCAAUAGAGACAACUUUGAAAGACUUUAGGAUACUGAUCAAUGUCAGGAUAAGCCACGAGUCCAAAAGAAUCAAGAUGAAGCCUGUCAGUCCUUCCAUCGGAGAGAGGGUGAAUGGAAGCUGUAGUGAGAGGGAUAUUUCCAGAUAUGAUCAACAGCAGAAUUUGGGGCUUUUCUUUCUGAUUUCUAACAUGGGAGGAUGUAGUGGGAGGGAUAGAUUAAUAAAAGAAAAAGUGAAAUUCCUAUAAAAAAAACA